UAAGCCAUGAUCAUCCCAUUGCACUCCAGCCUGGGUGACAGAGUGAGACUGUCUCAAAAACAACAAAAACAAAACAUUAUUGUACAUAACAUUGAAAAUUUGGCUUUAAGGGCAAAGUAGUGCCAAGAAAGAGGUUCGAAACUAAGUGUUGAGCACUCACUGAGUUCCUGGACCCGCUCUCUCCUUUUAUAAGGCCCCAUGUGGGUCUCAUACAGGCAUUAGAAACAACCCCAAGUUACUAUUGCUGUUUAACAACCUCAAAACUGAAGAGCUUAAAACAACAGUAAUUGUUUCAUAUCACAGUUCCUGUGGGUCAGGAUUCGGGAAAGGCUCAGACUUGACAGUUGUAGCUCUGUGUCCUGCACUUGUUGUCAGCUGGAAUAGCAGGAGGCUGGCUGGCCAGGCAUCUCCCACUGUGUGUGGUUACAGGGUCUCAGAUGGCCUCUGUGUGAGCUAGUUUGGGCUUCCUCACCACAUGGGUAGCUUCAGAGUGGUAGUUUUUUACGUGGUGGCUCAGGGCCACCAGCUAGUUGUUCCAACAAACCAGCCAUAAGCAGCACUGCCUUUUAUGACCUAGCCUUGGAAGUCAUCCCAGCAUCACUUUUGUCACAUUAUUCAGUCACCUCUCCAUCUGAAGAAUGGCACAGAUUUUGCUGACAUUUAAAAUUGCCACUUCCCACCUCAAGAAACCCGUCUGGUGUGGGAGGCAAGACUAAUCCAGACGAUGGCACCAAGACUACCAAAGAGAUGAAGAGGAAGAGUCCCGUUAGAGAACACCUUCUGGCCAUCCUCAUUACUGGUCACAGAAAAGAAAAUGACUUGAGAAUGUAGCCAGCAGCUAGGCUGAAAA